UACAGAGGUCUCAAGCGUUGUUCGGAAUCACUGGGCGUAAAGGGUGCGUAGGCCGCACGGUAAGUCAGAUGUGAAAUCUCAGGGCUCAACUCUGAAAUUGCAUCCGAUACUGCCGUGCUUGAGGACUGGAGAGGAGUCUGGAAUUCAUGGUGUAGCAGUGAAAUGCGCAGAUAUCAGGAGGAACACCAGUGGCGAAGGCGGUGCUCUGGGCCGGAACUGACGCUGAGGAGCGAAAGCGUGGGGAGCAAACAGG
rnacentral:rRNA from 1 species